rfam:Pelodictyon phaeoclathratiforme BT-1, complete genome.
UCAGUUGUUCAGUCAGCGGAGCCCAACAAUACAUUCAGGAUAAAUAAAUUGCGUUGUGUGAAGCCGUCGGAAAAAUACCCGCAGGAAACUGUAGACAAAUCCGUGAGGGAAGGUUGAAUCUGCUCGUAACAGGUGGAGAAGUGC